rnacentral:rRNA from 1 species
AAAAUUAGCGGAUGACUUGUGGCUGGGGGUGAAAGGCCAAUCAAACCGGGAGAUAGCUGGUUCUCCCCGAAAGCUAUUUAGGUAGCGCCUCGUGAAUUCAUCUCCGGGGGUAGAGCACUGUUUCGGCAAGGGGGUCAUCCCGACUUACCAACCCGAUGCAAACUGCGAAUACCGGAGAAUGUUAUCACGGGAGACACACGGCGGGUGCUAACGUCCGUCGUGAAGAGGGAAACAACCCAGACCGCCAGCUAAGGUCCCAAAGUCAUGGUUAAGUGGGAAACGAUGUGGGAAGGCCCAGACAGCCAGGAUGUUGGCUUAGAAGCAGCCAUCAUUUAAAGAAAGCGUAAUAGCUCACUGGUCGAGUCGGCCUGCGCGGAAGAUGUAACGGGGCUAAACCAUGCACCGAAGCUGCGGCAGCGACGCUUAUGCGUUGUUGGGUAGGGGAGCGUUCUGUAAGCCUGCGAAGGUGUGCUGUGAGGCAUGCUGGAGGUAUCAGAAGUGCGAAUGCUGACAUAAGUAACGAUAAAGCGGGUGAAAAGCCCGCUCGCCGGAAGACCAAGGGUUCCUGUCCAACGUUAAUCGGGGCAGGGUGAGUCGACCCCUAAGGCGAGGCCGAAAGGCGUAGUCGAUGGGAAACAGGUUAAUAUUCCUGUACUUGGUGUUACUGCGAAGGGGGGACGGAGAAGGCUAUGUUGGCCGGGCGACGGUUGUCCCGGUUUAAGCGUGUAGGCUGGUUUUCCAGGCAAAUCCGGAAAAUCAAGGCUGAGGCGUGAUGACGAGGCACUACGGUGCUGAAGCAACAAAUGCCCUGCUUCCAGGAAAAGCCUCUAAGCAUCAGGUAACAUCAAAUCGUACCCCAAACCGACACAGGUGGUCAGGUAGAGAAUACCAAGGCGCUUGAGAGAACUCGGGUGAAGGAACUAGGCAAAAUGGUGCCGUAACUUCGGGAGAAGGCACGCUGAUAUGUAGGUGAAGCGACUUGCUCGUGGAGCUGAAAUCAGUCGAAGAUACCAGCUGGCUGCAACUGUUUAUUAAAAACACAGCACUGUGCAAACACGAAAGUGGACGUAUACGGUGUGACGCCUGCCCGGUGCCGGAAGGUUAAUUGAUGGGGUCAGCGCAAGCGAAGCUCUUGAUCGAAGCCCCGGUAAACGGCGGCCGUAACUAUAACGGUCCUAAGGUAGCGAAAUUCCUUGUCGGGUAAGUUCCGACCUGCACGAAUGGCGUAAUGAUGGCCAGGCUGUCUCCACCCGAGACUCAGUGAAAUUGAACUCGCUGUGAAGAUGCAGUGUACCCGCGGCAAGACGGAAAGACCCCGUGAACCUUUACUAUAGCUUGACACUGAACAUUGAGCCUUGAUGUGUAGGAUAGGUGGGAGGCUUUGAAGUGUGGACGCCAGUCUGCAUGGAGCCGACCUUGAAAUACCACCCUUUAAUGUUUGAUGUUCUAACGUGGACCCGUAAUCCGGGUUGCGGACAGUGUCUGGUGGGUAGUUUGACUGGGGCGGUCUCCUCCUAAAGAGUAACGGAGGAGCACGAAGGUUGGCUAAUCCUGGUCGGACAUCAGGAGGUUAGUGCAAUGGCAUAAGCCAGCUUGACUGCGAGCGUGACGGCGCGAGCAGGUGCGAAAGCAGGUCAUAGUGAUCCGGUGGUUCUGAAUGGAAGGGCCAUCGCUCAACGGAUAAAAGGUACUCCGGGGAUAACAGGCUGAUACCGCCCAAGAGUUCAUAUCGACGGCGGUGUUUGGCACCUCGAUGUCGGCUCAUCACAUCCUGGGGCUGAAGUAGGUCCCAAGGGUAUGGCUGUUCGCCAUUUAAAGUGGUACGCGAGCUGGGUUUAGAACGUCGUGAGACAGUUCGGUCCCUAUCUGCCGUGGGCGCUGGAGAACUGAGGGGGGCUGCUCCUAGUACGAGAGGACCGGAGUGGACGCAUCACUGGUGUUCGGGUUGUCAUGCCAAUGGCACUGCCCGGUAGCUAAAUGCGGAAGAGAUAAGUGCUGAAAGCAUCUAAGCACGAAACUUGCCCCGAGAUGAGUUCUCCCUGACUCCUUGAGAGUCCUGAAGGAACGUUGAAGACGACGACGUUGAUAGGCCGGGUGUGUAAGCGCAGCGAUGCGUUGAGCUAACCGGUACUAAUGAACCGUGAGG